rnacentral:rRNA from 1 species
CACUCCUACGGGAGGCAGCAGUGGGGAAUAUUGCACAAUGGGCGCAAGCCUGAUGCAGCCAUGCCGCGUGUAUGAAGAAGGCCUUCGGGUUGUAAAGUACUUUCAGCGGGGAGGAAGGCGAUAAGGUUAAUAACCUUGUCGAUUGACGUUACCCGCAGAAGAAGCACCGGCUAACUCCGUGCCAGCAGCCGCGGUAAUACGGAGGGUGCAAGCGUUAAUCGGAAUUACUGGGCGUAAAGCGCACGCAGGCGGUCUGUCAAGUCGGAUGUGAAAUCCCCGGGCUCAACCUGGGAACUGCAUUCGAAACUGGCAGGCUAGAGUCUUGUAGAGGGGGGUAGAAUUCCAGGUGUAGCGGUGAAAUGCGUAGAGAUCUGGAGGAAUACCGGUGGCGAAGGCGGCCCCCUGGACAAAGACUGACGCUCAGGUGCGAAAGCGUGGGGAGCAAACAGGAUUAGAUACCCGGGUAGUCCCAUGA